rnacentral:lncRNA from 1 species
CUGGGAGGUCUGGCUGGUCGUCAGUUGGAUCUGCACUUUGCAACAUCUGCAGGAGCUGGUCCAUUUUAUCUUCAUCAAUAUAAACUGGCUCAGGCUCAGGUUCUAUUGUUUCUACUUGAACUUCAUCACUGAACUGCACUGUUUUCUUCUCAGUUUUCAUCAUUUCUGGCUCAGCAGAAAGAUCAGCUGUUACAAAAUUAGAUGGAAACAAUCCUAUACCCUGAUGAG